UUGAGAUGUAGGUUAUAAGAUU
rnacentral:miRNA from 1 species